rnacentral:lncRNA from 1 species
AUGGGGGCUUAACCUUGCAGGCCAGGUGUAUUGGUAUCAGCUCCCUUGUUGUGCAGGAUAGAAUCAGGGGUAGAAAAUAAAGGAGGCAGACCACAGGCUGAGAGCUGUCAUCUAUAUUUUUGCCCCCGUCCUACAACCAUGAAAGGGAGGCCACCCACAGACAUGUCCAAUGACCAGGACACCCCAGGUGAUUAUGGCUGGGGAGUGAUUUAAUGCUGCCACCCAGGAAGUGCCCAGCCCGGCCCAAAGGUAAGAUUCUUUUUCUGUCCAGUGUUUGGUCAGAAGAGAUUGUGCCCAGCAGAGAGCCUUGCACACUGAGAGCAUGCAGGCCCCAGCUAACAGCCAUCCCUCCAGAGACAGAGCAGACACAGAGCUGUCAGCAUCUGCAGACGUAGUCCUUCCUGGUGCUUCCGGCACAGACCCAACACAGCACAAAGAGGAUGUUCCAGGGGCAGACCAGACCUGGGAGACCAGGAAAAUACAUGAGAAAGUCCAGGUCAGUCCUAGAGUGUGGCCCUUACACGCCCUGGUUAAAGACUGGGGCUGCAUAUCAGAACCCAUGGAAGCAUCUUUCUGUUCAGUGACAUGUUCGUUGGCCCAAAGCAUGGCACAGAUUUGUCAGUCCAAACUGUAGAUCCUUGUCCCAGAGAAGCUCUGUAUGUGAGUUUACACAUGGACACCUGGAUGAUGUGGUUCCUACACAAAGGUAAGAGUCAAGAUGUUAACCAAGAAAAUCCAGAUGAAGAACAUCCUUCCCAGACUUUGUUUAACGAGAUCUUUUUCUUUCUGGAUUUAUUAGGCUCCACAUAAAAACCUAUUAUAUUUCCAGGGAGAAAGAUACUCAAGAUUGUGUGUCUUACCCAAAUGUGUCACACGUUUAUUUGGGCUUACAGAUGUUGAAAGUAUUUAAAAUUAUUAUAUAAUCAUGACAUGUUUUAGUUGGAAUGAAGCUUUUAGUUCAAUAUUUUUCAAAGUUGUUUUUUUUUUAUUAGACUCAAUUUACUCAAAGCAGAAACAAAACAGAUCAAAGCCGAGUUGCUUGACCUGAGUUAGAGCCGAGUAUUUCUAUCUCUGCACACUGGCCCCCUUGCCCCCGCGCCCCUACCCAUGGAAGCUUUUAGGGUGAGGGGCGCACAAGUGUCAUCACUAAAUCCCUUGACUUCUUUGAGCCAAGUCUAAAUACCACUGAUCAAGUUCCUCCUUCUUAUUUUAGCCAGAGAAGUAUUCUUAAGAGAUUAACCCUUGGAAGGAAGUAAAGACGUAUUAUCAUUCAAAGUAUCUAAAAUAUUAGGAUUUGAAUAUAAUCAUAGCACUUUAUGAGAACUAUAGGCCAGGCACUGUGCUAGGCAUCCUACCUCUGGUACCUCAUGGAACCCUCUUAACAACCCUAGGAGACUGAUACUAAUAUUAUCUCCAUUUUCAGUUGAGGAAACUGAGGCUUCCAGAUCCAGCAAGUGGAAAAACCUGAGUUCAGAUCUCUGGACCCUGAUGCCAGAAUCUUCACCUCCACUCUUUUUUCUUCUUUUUUCUGUUUUUUUUUUUUUUUUUUUUAGGGCCGCCCCUGCAACUUAUGGAAGUUCCCAGGCUAGGGGUCAAAUUGGAGCUGGAGCUGCCGGCCUAUACCACAGCCACAGCAAUGCGAGAUCUAAACUGAGAUCUCUGAGACCUACACCACAGCUCAUGGCAACACCGGUUCCUUAACCCACUGAGCAAGGCCAGGGAUCAAACCCACAUCCUCUUGGAUACCAGUCAGGUUCUUAACCCACUGAACCACAAAGGGAACCCCUCACCUCCACACUUUACAGGGUUUCCUAAUUGUGGCAGCACUGUCAUUAGGAACCAGGUCAUUCUUUGGUUCAACCAGACCUGUCCUGUGCAUUGAGUUCCUGCUGUGGCACAGCAGGUAAAGCAUCUGGUGGUGUCUCUGCAGCAGCUUGGGUCUCUGCUGAGGUACAGGUCUGAUCCCUGGCCCGGGGAAAUUCCAUAUGCCUUGGGUGCAGCUGAAGAAUAAAACGAAAACAAAAACCAAGGAGUGCCUGUCAUGGCUCAUUGGAAAGGAAUCUGACUAGUAUCCAUGAGGACACAGGUUUGAUCCCUGGCCUCGCUCAGUGCGUUAAGGAUCUGGCGUUGCCAUGAGCUGUGGUGUAGGUUGCAGAUGCGGCUCGUAUCCCAAGUUGCUGUGGCUCUGGUGUAGGCUGGUGGCUACAGCUCUCUCUGAUUUGACCCCUAGCCUGGGAACUUCCAUAUGCCUUGAGUGCAGCCCUAAAAAGACCAAAAAAAACCAAAACAUAAAACAAACAAGAGCCAGUUAAAUAGCUGCUAGCAGGCUCCAUGCAAGAGUCACACUGGAUAUUUCCCCUUUGGGGCUGUCACUGUGUUGCUUCGUAGGUGCUGGCCCAACUGUCUCAUCCAUAAGAAUUUCUUUUGGCCAAAUUAUAUCCAAUAGGGGGCAGUUCCAUAUAUGGGGAGCCUGGAGAUGAUUCAGUGUUGGUGUCCAUUUUAUAAGAACAGAAUAUAAACUUCAGUGAACGAAGAAUUAGGUGCAGAGCCUUGGAAGUGCUCAUAUAAGUGACGCCCCUCUGAGUUGAAGCCUGAUUGCUUUCCGUGGAUCCGCCUCUGCACACAGGCAAGGUCUCAGACGUCUGCCUGUUUCAUUCACCCAGAGGAAGACUCUGAUGAGUGUAGCCAUUUCACAUUCUUCCCGCUCAGGGAGCCUAAGGAUUUUCUCAUUUAUGAUGCCCUCACUCUAUCAGAGUGAUGGAAGCUUCCUUCUGGCACCAAGAUUUAUGUGAUCGAGUCCAAAAAUAUGCUAUUCAAAUCAUGGAAGGAAUUGUCUUGCUUAGUAGCAAUUUAAUACAGCUGGUGGAAAUAAAACGGAGUAAAUACUUGAGAAAGUGAGUUUCUUUCCACAGAUGAAAAAUCAUACUGCAGGUCUUGAAGUGGCCAAGUUUCUGACUGUUAAAAAGAAUUACAUUUGGCUACCCUGCUCAUACAGUGUCCUGGAGAAAUUCCUAAUCAAUAACCUUUCCCUUGCUUUAUGAAGCACAGAAAGUGAUGGGGUGGAAAAAUCAACUUGAUAAACUUCAGCAAUAAUUUAAUUUGCCUUCCUUAAAAUUUCUCACUCAGCCAGCCAGAGUAAAAAAAAAAAAUGUGGUAAAACCAUUAGGGGAAAGAGUGGAAUUGUGGUAACAGAGAAACGCAGCCUGUCUCAUAAUGUCAACCUUGUGUCAUUGAGGCAGUUCAUACUUCAUCCGGGGGUGGGAGGAGAGGUGGCAGAUUGCUGUAGAACCCCCUCUUCCCCCAGCAGGUCCCGCUACACUUUCCAGUUAAAAAAGACAAGCCACACCCUCCUUCUGUCCUCUGCUGCUCAUCAGGCCCCAUUCUCCUUCCACUUCUACUCUGGGAAAAAAGAUGAAAGCAUCGAGCUGCAAGAUCGUGACAAUCAAGAAAUCCAUCUCCAUCCUCCCCCUGUCCCUCUGUGUCCCCUGAGACUGACCCAGAUAGAAGCUAAAUCAAGGCUGGUUUCUAAAAGCUUGCAGAGCGCCCUUGAAGAGAUCCCUUGGUGCCACGUAACCUUAGAGGGUGGAUCCCUUUACCAGCCAGGGCAUCUGUCCCCCAGCUGCUGGGCAGUUUGGCCAAUAAUACUGUGCACAGCUGUGCCCUCCCCAGGAGAGCAGUUUUGCAGGGGCUAAUGUAACAAAGUGUUGCAGACCAGGUGGCUUAAGCAACAGCAGUUUAUCUCUUCACAGUUCUGGAGGCCAGAGCUCCAAGUUCAAGGGUUGCCAAAUUGGUUUCAUCCUGAGGUCUCUCUUCCUGGCUUGGAGGUGGUCAUCCUCUUCCGGCACCUUCCAUGGUCUUCCCUAAUGACGUCAUUUUAACUAUCUCUUUAAAGACCCUGUCUCUGGAGUUCCCACUGUGGCUUAGCAGAAACGAAUCCAACUAGUAUCCAUGAGGAUGCAGAUUUGAUCCCUGACCUCGCUCAUUGGGCUAAGGAUCCGGCAUUGCUGUGAGCUGUAGUGUAAGUCACAGACGUGGCUCGGAUCUGGUUUUGCUGUGGCUGUGGUGUAGGUCCAUAGCUGCAGCUCCAAUGGGACCCCUAGCCUGGGAACUUCCAUAUGCAUGG